GAUAAAUGGUCAUUGCUUCUCAUCUGACUGUUUCUAAGGCUUUGAAUUUUGGUACAAUAGCAGACUAGCAGUAUAAAGGCCUUGGCAUAUUUGCAUCUACAGAAUUUUGGGACAGUAGCUGUAACAAGGUCAUUGAAUAUACAAUUGAAGUAUCCUUCAAAGGGCUUUAUUAGGUCUAUUCAAAUGGAAAAUAUCCAUGGCUUUAAGUCAACUGGCAGCAGUGGCUCAAGAGGUGCAUUGAUUAUUCUAGAAGGCUUAGAUCGAUGUGGAAAAACAACAGUCUAGUAGUCUACACAAGUACUUGGUAGGAUUAGGGCAUUCGGCUGAAUUAUGGCGAUUCCCAGACAGAACAACAAGUGUGGGGAAAAUGAUAUCAUCCUAUCUUUUCAAUGAAUCUCAACUUGAUGAUCAUGCUAUACAUCUUCUUUUCAAUGCCAACCGUUGGGAGAAGAGAUCCUUGAUGGAAAGUAAAUUGAAAUCUGGAACCACCAUCAUUGUUGACCGGUAUUCUUAUUCUGGGGUGUCUUUCUCUUCUGCCAAAGGACUAGAUUUUGAGUGGU